AUUUUAGUAUAAAUAUGUCUCAUGCAAUCCUUGAAACAUACUUAUACUAAAA
rnacentral:pre_miRNA from 1 species